rnacentral:lncRNA from 1 species
CCGGAUCCUUGCUGCAGCGUCAGCGCCGCCGCCCGUGCCUUUCCUCUUCCUCCUCCUCCUCCUUGGCAUCCGCCUCUUCUUCCUCCUGCGUCCUCCCCCGCUGCCUCCGCUGCUCCCGACGCGGAGCCCGGAGCCCGCGCCGAGCCCCUGGCCUCGCGGUGCCAUGCUGCCCCGGCGGCGGCGCUGAAGGAUGGCGACGCCGCUGCCUCCGCCCUCCCCGCGGCACCUGCGGCUGCUGCGGCUGCUGCUCUCCGGCCUCGUCCUCGGCGCCGCCCUGCGUGGAGCCGCCGCCGGCCACCCGGAUGUAGCCGCCUGUCCCGGGAGCCUGGACUGUGCCCUGAAGAGGCGGGCAAGGUGUCCUCCUGGUGCACAUGCCUGUGGGCCCUGCCUUCAGCCCUUCCAGGAGGACCAGCAAGGGCUCUGUGUGCCCAGGAUGCGCCGGCCUCCAGGUACGAGAGCAAAGGGGGAAGUCGAUGGGGGGAUGUCCCUGCAUGAACCUCUCCCUG